UACGUAGGGGGCAAGCGUUGUCCGGAAUCAUUGGGCGUAAAGCGCGUGUAGGCGGUUCGAUAAGUCUGCUGUGAAAGUCCAGGGCUCAACCCUGGGAUGCCGGUGGAUACUGUCGGACUAGAGUACGGAAGAGGCGAGUGGAAUUCCCGGUGUAGCGGUGAAAUGCGCAGAUAUCGGGAAGAACACCAACGGCGAAGGCAGCUCGCUAGGACGGUACUGACGCUGAGACGCGAAAGCGUGGGGAGCGAACAGG
rnacentral:rRNA from 1 species